GCUCAGGACGAACGCUGGCGGCGUGCCUAACACAUGCAAGUCGAGCGAAGUUUUCAAAGUAGAUUUCUUCGGAAUGAAAUCUUGAUUAUCUUAGCGGCGGACGGGUGAGUAACGCGUGAGAAACCUGCCUUUCACAAAGGGAUAGCCUCGGGAAACUGGGAUUAAUACCUUAUGAUACUAAUUCUUCGCAUGGAGAAUUAGUCAAAGCGCAAAGCGGUGAAAGAUGGUCUCGCGUCCCAUUAGUUAGUUGGUGAGGUAAUGGCUCACCAAGACCGCGAUGGGUAGCCGGCCUGAGAGGGUGAACGGCCACACUGGAACUGAGACACGGUCCAGACUCCUACGGGAGGCAGCAGUGGGGAAUAUUGCACAAUGGAGGAAACUCUGAUGCAGCGACGCCGCGUGAACGAUGAAGGCCUUCGGGUCGUAAAGUUCUGUCCUAGGGGACGAUAGUGACGGUACCCUAGGAGGAAGCCCCGGCUAACUACGUGCCAGCAGCCGCGGUAAUACGUAGGGGGCAAGCGUUGUCCGGAUUUAUUGGGCGUAAAGGGUGCGUAGGCGGCCUUUUAAGUCAGAUGUGAAAGGUCACGGCUCAACCGUGGUAAGCAUUUGAAACUGAAAGGCUUGAGUUAAGGAGAGGAAAGUGGAAUUCCUAGUGUAGCGGUGAAAUGCGUAGAUACUAGGAGGAACACCAGCGGCGAAGGCGGCUUCCUGGCCUAUUACUGACGCUGAUGCGCGAAAGCGUGGGGAGCAAACAGGAUUAGAUACCCUGGUAGUCCACGCCGUAAACGAUGGGUGCUAGGUGUGGGAGGUAUCGACCCCUUCCGUGCCAUAGUUAACGCAAUAAGCACCCCGCCUGGGGAGUACGGUCGCAAGACUGAAACUCAAAGGAAUUGACGGGGGCCCGCACAAGCAGCGGAGCGUGUGGUUUAAUUCGACGCAACGCGAAGAACCUUACCAAGGCUUGACAUCCCUCGCAAUCUGUAGAGAUAUAGAGUUCCCUUCGGGGACGAGGAGACAGGUGGUGCACGGUUGUCGUCAGCUCGUGUCGUGAGAUGUUGGGUUAAGUCCCGCAACGAGCGCAACCCUUGUACUUAGUUGCCAUCAUUAAGUUGGGCACUCUAAGUAGACUGCCGGUGACAAACCGGAGGAAGGUGGGGAUGACGUCAAAUCAUCAUGCCCCUUAUGUCUUGGGCUACACACGCGCUACAAUGGUCUGUACAGAGGGCAGCGACACCGCGAGGUGAAGCGAAUCCCAUAAAACAGAUCUCAGUUCGGAUUGCAGGCUGCAACUCGCCUGCAUGAAGUCGGAGUUGCUAGUAAUCGCGGAUCAGAACGCCGCGGUGAAUGCGUUCCCGGGCCUUGUACACACCGCCCGUCACACCACGAAAGUUGGUAACACCCGAAGUCGGUGAGCAAAACGCAGCCGCCGAAGGUGGGACUAAUGAUUGGGGUGAAGUCGUAACAAGGUAACCGUA
rnacentral:rRNA from 1 species